rnacentral:rRNA from 1 species
GUGGGGAAUUUUGGACAAUGGGCGCAAGCCUGAUCCAGCCAUGCCGCGUGCAGGAUGAAGGCCUUCGGGUUGUAAACUGCUUUUAUACGGAACGAAAAGACUCUGGUUAAUACCUGGGGUCCAUGACGGUACCGUAAGAAUAAGCACCGGCUAACUACGUGCCAGCAGCCGCGGUAAUACGUAGGGUGCGAGCGUUAAUCGGAAUUACUGGGCGUAAAGCGUGCGCAGGCGGUUAUAUAAGACAGAUGUGAAAUCCCCGGGCUCAACCUGGGAACUGCAUUUGUGACUGUAUAGCUAGAGUACGGCAGAGGGGGAUGGAAUUCCGCGUGUAGCAGUGAAAUGCGUAGAUAUGCGGAGGAACACCGAUGGCGAAGGCAAUCCCCUGGGCCUGUACUGACGCUCAUGUACGAAAGCGUGGGGAGCAAACAGGAUUAGAUACCCCGGUAGUCC